UACGGGGGGAGCAAGCGUUGUUCGGAUUUACUGGGCGUAAAGGGCGCGUAGGCGGCCACUGCAAGUCGGUUGUGAAAUCUCCGGGCUUAACCCGGAAAGGUCAACCGAUACUGCAGGGCUAGAGUGCAGAAGGGGCAACUGGAAUUCUCGGUGUAGCGGUGAAAUGCGUAGAUAUCGAGAGGAACACCUGCGGCGAAGGCGGGUCUCUGGACAGUUCCUGACACUGAGGCACGAAGGCCAGGGGAGCAAACGGG
rnacentral:rRNA from 1 species